rnacentral:rRNA from 1 species
AGUUUGAUCAUGGCUCAGGAUGAACGCUAGCGGCAGGCUUAACACAUGCAAGUCGAGGGGCAGCGGGGAGGAAGCUUGCUUUCUCCGCCGGCGACCGGCGCACGGGUGAGUAACACGUAUGCAACCUGCCCCUGUCAGGGGGACAACCCGCCGAAAGGCGGGCUAAACCCGCGUACAUGCCACCGGGGCAUCCCGGAGGCAGGAAAGGCUUCGGCCGGACAGGGAUGGGCAUGCGGCGCAUUAGGCAGUAGGCGGGGUAACGGCCCACCUAACCGACGAUGCGUAGGGGUUCUGAGAGGAAGGUCCCCCACACUGGUACUGAGACACGGACCAGACUCCUACGGGAGGCAGCAGUGAGGAAUAUUGGUCAAUGGUCGGGAGACUGAACCAGCCAAGCCGCGUGAGGGAGGAAGGUACAGAGUAUCGUAAACCUCUUUUGUCAGGGAACAAAGACUGGGACGCGUCCCCGGAUGAGUGUACCUGAAGAAAAAGCAUCGGCUAACUCCGUGCCAGCAGCCGCGGUAAUACGGAGGAUGCGAGCGUUAUCCGGAUUUAUUGGGUUUAAAGGGUGCGCAGGCGGUCUGUUAAGUCAGCGGUCAAAGCCCGGGGCUCAACCCCGGCCCGCCGUUGAAACUGGCAGUCUCGAGUUGGAGAGAAGUAUGCGGAAUGCGCGGUGUAGCGGUGAAAUGCAUAGAUAUCGCGCAGAACUCCGAUUGCGAAGGCAGCAUGCCGGCUCCACACUGACGCUGAGGCACGAAAGCGUGGGUAUCGAACAGGAUUAGAUACCCUGGUAGUCCACGCAGUAAACGAUGAAUGCUGGCUGUCCGGGGGGACUGACCCCUGGGUGGCGAAGCGAAAGCGAUAAGCAUUCCACCUGGGGAGUACGCCGGCAACGGUGAAACUCAAAGGAAUUGACGGGGGCCCGCACAAGCGGAGGAACAUGUGGUUUAAUUCGAUGAUACGCGAGGAACCUUACCCGGGCUCAAACGGGGAGUGACUCAGGCAGAGACGCCUGUUUCCCACGGGACACUCCCCGAGGUGCUGCAUGGUUGUCGUCAGCUCGUGCCGUGAGGUGUCGGCUUAAGUGCCAUAACGAGCGCAACCCCCGCGUGCNAGUUGCUAACAGAUAACGCUGAGGACUCUGCACGGACUGCCGGCGCAAGCCGCGAGGAAGGCGGGGAUGACGUCAAAUCAGCACGGCCCUUACGUCCGGGGCGACACACAUGUUACAAUGGGUGGUACAGCGGGAAGCCAGGCGGCGACGCCGAGCGGAACCCGAAAUCCACUCUCAGUUCGGAUCGGAGUCUGCAACCCGACUCCGUGAAGCUGGAUUCGCUAGUAAUCGCGCAUCAGCCAUGGCGCGGUGAAUACGUUCCCGGGCCUUGUACACACCGCCCGUCAAGCCAUGGGAGCCGAGGGCGCUUGAAGUGCGUCGCCGCGAGGCGCGCCCUAGAGCGAAAUCGGUGACUGGGGCUAAGUCGUAACAAGGU